GAUGGACGCUGGCGGCGUGCCUAAUACAUGCAAGUCGAGCGAACGGACGAGAAUCUUGCUUCUCUGAUGUUAGCGGCGGACGGGUGAGUAACACGUGGAUAACCUACCUAUAAGACUGGGAUAACUUCGGGACACCGUAGCUAAUACCGGAUAAUAUUUUGAACCGCAUGGUUCAAAAGUGAAAGACGGUCUUGCUGUCACUUAUAGAUGGAUCCGCGCUUCAUUAGCUAGUUGGUAAGGUAACGGCUUACCAAGGCAACGAUGCAUAGCCGACCUGAGAGGGUGAUCGGCCACACUGGAACUGAGACACGGUCCAGACUCCUACGGGAGGCAGCAGUAGGGAAUCUUCCGCAAUGGGCGAAAGCCUGACGGAGCAACGCCGCGUGAGUGAUGAAGGUCUUCGGAUCGUAAAACUCUGUUAUUAGGGAAGAACAUAUGUGUAAGUAACUGUGCACAUCUUGACGGUACCUAAUCAGAAAGCCACGGCUAACUACGUG
rnacentral:rRNA from 1 species